rnacentral:lncRNA from 1 species
GAUUGAGAAAAUCAGGGCACAACGAAAAGGAGGAGGGCCUGGCCAGGAAAUGGACCCGCCGGCAUUCCCUGGGCACCCCUGCCAGCAACCAGAGGACACAGUGCCCACCCUGCUUGCUGGGCACCAGCCCUAGGAGGGGACGCUGACAACGCGUCCGGUGACUGCGACCCAAACGCGGGCCCUUCACCGCGCAGGUGGACUUUCUCUGGACUUCGGAGAAAGCUGAGGUAAAUUCAGAGACGGGGGCUGUCCUGGACGAGUGCUGCUGGAGACAGUGCAGGGACGUGUCUGGCUGUUGACCUCAUAUGUAAGCAAGUUGAACUGUG